rnacentral:rRNA from 1 species
AGCGAACGCUGGCGGCAGGCCUAACACAUGCAAGUCGAACGAAGCCUUCGGGCUUAGUGGCGGACGGGUGAGUAACAUGUGGGAACGUACCUUUUGGUUCGGAAUAACGCAGAGAAAUUUGUGCUAAUACCGAAUGAGCCAUUAGGGGGAAAGAUUUAUCGGCGAAAGAUCGGCUCGCGUUGGAUUAGGUAAUUGGUGUGGUAAAGGCACACGAAGCCUACUAUCCAUAGCUGGUCUGAAAGGAUGAUCAGCCACACUGGGACUGAGACACGGCCCAGACUCCUACGGGAGGCAGCAGUGGGGAAUCUUGCGCAAUGAGCGAAAGCCUGACGCAGCCAUGCCGCGUGAAUGAUGAAGGUCUUAGGAUUGUAAAAUUCUUUUACCAGGGACGAUAAUGACGGUACCUGGAGAAAAAGCCCCGGCUAACUUCGUGCCAGCCGCCGCGGUAACAC